GAAAUGCGAUAAGUAAUGUGAAUUGCAGAAUUCAGUGAAUCAUCGAAUCUUUGAACGCACAUUGCGCCCGCCAGUAUUCUGGCGGGCAUGCCUGUUCGAGCGUCAUUUCAACCAUCAAGCCCCGCGCUUGUGUUGGGGACCUGCGGCUGCCGCAGGCCCUGAAAACCAGUGGCGGGCUCGCUGUCACACCGGGCGUAGUAGAUUUUAUCUCGCUCAGGGCGUGCUGCGGGUUCCGGCCGUUAAAAAGCCUUUUUUACCCAAUGUUGACCUCGGAUCAGGUAGGAAGACCCGCUGAACUUAAGC
rnacentral:misc_RNA from 1 species